rnacentral:rRNA from 1 species
GUGAGGAAUAUUGGUCAAUGGACGAGAGUCUGAACCAGCCAAGUCGCGUGAAGGAAGACGGUUCUAUGAAUUGUAAACUUCUUUUGUGCAGGAAUAAAGUGGGUUACGUGUAACCUUUUGUAUGUACUGUACGAAUAAGGAUCGGCUAACUCCGUGCCAGCAGCCGCGGUAAUACGGAGGAUCCGAGCGUUAUCCGGAUUUAUUGGGUUUAAAGGGUGCGUAGGUGGAUUGAUAAGUCAGCGGUGAAAGUUUGCAGCUUAACUGUAAAAUUGCCGUUGAAACUGUCGGUCUUGAGUGCAAAUGAGGUAGGCGGAAUGUGUUGUGUAGCGGUGAAAUGCUUAGAUAUAACACAGAACUCCGAUUGCGAAGGCAGCUUACUGGGAUGCAACUGACGCUGAGGCACGAAAGCGUGGGGAUCAAACAGGAUUAGAAACCCGGGUAGUCC